rnacentral:misc_RNA from 1 species
UUUAAUAAUAAUUUUUUUAUUAUUAUUAUCUCAAUAAAAAUGUAGAUUACACAUCCAAAUUUUACCAAUUUUUUUUUACAAUUGGUUCUAAUUUGAUAAUAUGUCGAUCCUUUAUUACACUAUACAUUGCAUCAAUAUAUGAUCUCAUUUAGGGAUUGAAAACCCAAACAGAUUCAUUUGUUUUUAAUUAAUUUUUAUUUUUUUAAUUAAAUAGAAAAAUGUUUCAUUCGGAUGAUUUAGACAAAAUGAAAGAGAGUAAAUGUAUUUGAUUUGAGUGAUAUUUCAACGAAUUCUGAUUUUGACAAAUGAUUUUUGCAAAAGAUUAGAAUUAAGAGGGAAGAUUAUAGAAUUCUCUUAGUGCAUAUAAAAGUGGUAUUCCAUCUCUUAUAAAAAAGUGAGCUCUCCUUAUAAUAUAGAGAGUGGGUCUUAUAUGAUUGUGAGAGAUGAUGCAUGUGUACUGGUUGCACCUAAUAAUAUCUUAGUGAGUAGUAUGAAUCUCCCAUUAUUUAUACAUCAAACAUAUAAUUUACAUUGUCAUAGUACACACUUUCAUUUUAUUUUAUUUUUUUCAAACUGAGCAUACCAACAAAACCAUAUGCCCAAACAUAAAGAACAUAUAAUUAUGGCCUACAAAAACACAACCCUUGCACUUAUAAUUUGACGUCACAACUUUCUCCUUCCACUUCCUUGGUAAAACUGCGGCCACCCUUAAAGAGACAUUGAAUUUCAUGCAGCUGCUGCAAAAUAAAAAAUGUAUAUCAUCAACUGUAAAUAAUGAUUUUUCUUAAACAUUUUCCAAAACAAACAUUAGAAUUUCAAAAUAAAGUUGAAUUACUUACUACAAUACAAAGGUGGCUCUAUUCUAGCUUCCAUAUAAUUGUUUCUGACUAAAUAUAAAUCUUUGAUUGCAUCGCUUAUGUCCAUUCUAUCUUGAGGAGAGUCCAUGGAACAUGCUACCCCUACCUUGAUCAUGCAAAUUAGGCAUUCAACUUUGCUGUCAUUUCUUGCUUGCGUUGGACCUUCAUUGUUAUUUCCUCCUCCAUCUUCUUGUAAAAGAACUGGGUCUACAAUCUCCAACACUUGGUUGGGCAAUGCCAUCCUAGCAAAGUUGUGAAGGUUAAAACCGUCUACAAAAAUAACGUCAGUGGGUUCUUUUCCUGUCGCCAUCUCUAAUAAUAGGAUUCCAUAACUAUAAACAUCUCCAUUCAUGGAUACCUCACUUCCUAAUCCAUACUCUGCAAAAUUUAAAAAAAAAAUUUAUAGAUUUUGACAAUAACGUAAAAAUAAGAAAGCACAUAUGAUGCAAAAGGAUCACAACCACCUGGAGCUGCGUAACCUAUUGUUCCUCUAACUCCAAUUGAGCUACUUUGAGUUGGAUUCAUGAGGUGAGGAAGAAACUUUGCCAGCCCAAAAUCUCCAACAUGAGCAACCAUAUCAUUAUCAAGAAGAAUAUUGCUUGGCUUUAGAUCACAAUGAACAAUUGGCUGGUGACAAUGGUGAUGAAGAUAAUCUAGCCCAUUCCCAACAUCUAUAGCAAUGCUCAAUCUCUGCAAAAGACUUAGACUUGGUUGUUCAUCAAUUAGGUCAACACAUCUUUCUAAGUCUGUAUGUAACCACUUCUUUAAAUUCCCAUUGGGCAUGUAGUCAUAAACAAGUGCCCUAAAAUCAUUUCCUUUGAAAUCAAUACUGGAGCAAGACGACAUUAACUUGACAAGAUUUCGAUGACGAACAUUUCUCAAGGCUUUGCAUUCAGCUAUAAAAGUGUUUGCAGCGCCUCGUUGUUGAAGGUUGAGUACUUUCACUGCAAAGAUUGCUCGAUCCUCCACAGAUGCACCUUUAUAGACAGACCCAAAGCUUCCCACACCAAUCAAAUUUGCCGAAGAGAGCCCAUCAGUUGCCUUAAGAAUCAUUUCAUAUGAAAUCCUCUGAAAUGAAUUUAUUUCUAAGGAAGUGGGAGAUUGGUCUCUUUUCUUCUUCUUGGAUUUGUAAUACAUGGCAAUUGAUAGCAUGAUAAUGCCCAAAGCACAAGAGAUGAUGAUCACAACUAUUUUGAUAGUUCGCAAUCUGCUUCUUUUUGAUGCUUCAACAGGGCAUCUUGGCAAUUGUAGCUCUGGUAUACCCCCACAAAGCCUAUUGUUUCCUACAAUUGAUAUUGCACUAGCAUUUGCGAAAACUCCUUUGACGGGAACAUCACCAUCAAAAUUGUUGAAAGAUAAAUCAACAUAUUCCAAUGCAAAUUUCUCUAGGUAUUCUGGAAUCUCACCAGAAAAAUUGUUGUGAGACAAAUCAAAAAUUCUUAGACCUUUUAAAGAGGCCAAAGAUGGAGGCAUGUUUCCUUGUAAGUUGUUAUUGCCCAUGUAAAGCAACUCAAGGCUAUUGCACCGACCAAGGUCAUUUGGAAUAUUGCCAGACAACAUGUUUUUAGCAACAUGCAAUUCCUUCAAAUUGAAUAAAUUUCCAAUUUCUGAUGGGAGGGAUCCAUCUAAGUGGUUCUGAUCUAGUGCUAAGGAAACUAGCAUGGACUGGAAAGGAAAAAGCUGUUUAGGUAUGGAGCCACUAAGAUUGUUCUGAGAAAGAGACAUAAAUAAUAAUUUUGGGCAAUUUCCAAGGCUAGAGGGAAUGUUGCCUUGUAAAUUAUUGCGAAAUAAUCGAAUUUCACCCAAUGAUGAUAUGUUUCCUAAAGAUGAAGGAAUUGGUCCAUAUAAUCUAUUAUCAUUGAGUAUAAGAUCUAUUAGUCUUGAAAGCUUACCUAAUUCAAUGGGAAUGGUACCCAUAAUUUGGUUAUAUGCUAUAUUCACAUAUUGUAACCUAACAAGCAUUGAUAACCACCGAGGGAGGCUUCCACCUAUUUGAUUGAAGUGCAUUGAUAGCCAUUCAAGGGAUGAAGAUAGAUUGCCCACAAAAUUUGGCAAUACUCCCUUAAACUGAUUGUAGGACAUAUCCACAUCUUUCAAAUUGGUACAAUUCAGUAAAGAAGUGAUAAAAUCCAAAUCAUUACCUCCCUUGUUUCCAAGAUUGUUACGACUCAAAAAUAACCUGUAAAGUUGUUGUAAUCCUCCAAAAUCAACAUUUACUUUCCCAUUGAAUUUGUUUUGCUGUAAAAGAAUUCGUUGGAGUUUGGUGGCAUUGGAUAAUGAUCCUGGAAUGGAUCCACUAAAAUGGUUUCUUGACAUUUGUAAUACCUGAAGAUGAGGUAGGAGGAGGCCAAUAUUUGAUGGAAGACUUCCAUGGAGAGAAUUAUUUGAUACAGAUAAUAUUGUGAUGGAGGAUAUAUUAUAAAUGGCUUGUGGGACAAUACCUGAGAGGUUAUUGCUUCCAAGCCCAAUAGAUGACAAGUACUUGAGUUGACCCAAAGAAUGUGGAAUAUUUCCACUCAAGAAAUUUCCGCGAGCUGACAAAGUUUCAAGCGAGCUAAAGUUUCCCAAAAAUGGUGGUAUGCCCCCGCUCAAAUAAUUAGCAUGAAUUACAAUUAGUUUAAGCUUGGACAAAGCUGCAAGCUCUACUGGAAUUUUUCCAACCAGCUUGUUGUAAGCUAAUCCAAGAAAACUCAUGUUCAAGCAUUUGGACAAGUUGGAUGGAAUUUUCCCUUCAAAUGAGUUGUUGCUAAGAUCUAGAAGUUGCAGCCUGAACAAACGACCUAGUUCUGAAGGGAUUUCACCUUGAAGGCUAUUGUUUUGUAGUGUAAUAGCCGUAAGGAAACUCAUGUUUCCUAUAUGAGGAGACAAGUUACCCACCAAGCCUUUAGAAUGAAGAUCUAGUAUGGUGACUCUUUUGUGUCUGCGACCACAUAUGACACCUUCCCAAUUACAGAAAUGGGUAGAAUCAUUCCAUGAAGUCGUCGUGUUUUGAGGAUCAUAAACAAUCUUUGCCUUGAAUUCUAGCAAAGCAUGAUGAUCUGUCUCAUUCCCACCACCAGUUGGAGCAGCAUCAGCGGAGGAAACUUGGAAGCUCAGCCCCAUAAGGAAGAAGAGAACAAUGCAUUUCACAGAAAAUGUCAUUUUGUUUUAGGUGUCUAAGUUAAUGUUUACGGUUGUAAUGCUAACACACAUUUAAUUGGAUUAUAUAGGCACACUAUGGCCUUGUCUACCACAAGAAUAAAUUAAUGUGAACUCAUUAUACUCAAACUUCAC